UGCUGACUUCUUAGGAAGUAUGUUGUGCACGGCUUUUGUUUAGCAAAGGUCUUUUCUUUGUCCACCUGUGCACCUUUUGUAGAUCUGGAUACCUCUCACCUUCAAAGGUGGAUUUUGAAGGGUUGCUCUUUGGAGCUCUCUUUGUUUUUCCAGAUCUAUGCUUUUAUAUAUUCUCAAGUAUGUUUUGAAUGUCUUGUUUAUGGGACUUGUGUCCUUUAAAACUUAAUACAACUUUCAACAACGGAUCUCUUGGCUCUCGCAUCGAUGAAGAACGCAGCGAAAUGCGAUAACUAAUGUGAAUUGCAGAAUUCAGUGAAUCAUCGAGUCUUUGAACGCACCUUGCGCCCUUUGGUAUUCUGAAGGGCAUGCCUGUUUGAGUGUCAUUAUACUCUCAACCCUUCUCACUUUGUUGAUGAGGUGGAUUGGAUGUGGAAGUUGCUGGAACACUUUAUUGAAAUCAGCUCUUCUAAAAUGUAUUAGCAGUAGUACCGUUGACUGGGCUUGCUAGACUUGUGGUAAAUAUCUAUAGUCUUCUUGCUGGGUAGAGGUCAGGUUUUAAAGGGUUGCUUUUAUGAGCUCUCUUUGCCUUCUCUUGAAAAAGAGAUAACUAUAUGACUCUAUCAGAUGGCUACAGCUUCUAAUCAUCUAUAAUAAGAUAAACUUAACUGACUAUUUGACCU
rnacentral:sRNA from 1 species